rnacentral:lncRNA from 1 species
GGAAGGCAUCGGAGCCUGAGCAAGGGGAGGAGGGGGAGCCCCAACUCCGGGCUUCCUGGGAACACCUCCAGAAGCCAGAAGCCGGGCAGCCCCGGGUCAUCAUCUGCACUCUGGCUUCAUUUACAAGAUCUGUGUCUGCCGAGCAGCCUCGUGGACAAGCACGGGACUCUCUCCCUCGGCACCCAGAACCACAGAGCGCUCCCUGGAAGGAGUGGAAUGCGUCUCCCUAAGAGAGCUGGUUUGUGGUGAGACUAGCGAAUGGGCAAGCUUCAUCCAGACACCCUCCUUGAAGGCAGUCUCACCCAACCCACUCUCAGACCCCCUGGACCCGGAACUCUUUCAAGGCUCCAGACAGGCCAGAAAGCUUCCCUCGAGACCCACGCCACAGAUGAGACAGAUGCCCCAGGCAGCAGCCCAGCGUCCAGGGAGAAGAGCUGCGAUAUUCAGCUUGGGUGCUGAGGGGCCUUUCCCCCUGGGCCGAGUCUCUCCUGGAGAGCGUCCCUCACCACACAAGUCUGUGCCUGGUGGUGGUUUGCCUGAAGCUGGGUGGCUUGUGCCGAAGUGUUCCACUCUUGACCAACUAAUGCUAACGCUCAUGUUGUUUAUCAUCUGGUUCCACUUUGAUGAAAGUUGACAAAGGGUGCUGACAAUUUGGGCUUUCACCAGGAAGCCCCAGGGUGGCGUUCCAAACGCAAAUGUCCCAUGGUUCUUGGCUGGCCCAGAGUCGUGUGCAUGUGUCACAACUGGACGACUCUGGGAAGCCGACUCAUGUGAUUAAACUCAGAACUGCCAAAUGAUUUAUUCACAUGGAGGGUGCUCUUUUCAAGGGGCUGAAAUUAAUUGAUUCCCCAGAAGGAUUUCUGGCUGGAAUAUCCAGAAUGCCAAGUCCUAGGAAUGGUGCCUGGUGAGCCUGUACCCUGUGAGCACAGGAGUGGGCAGUGGUGGGGGGGGGGGGGGUCUUACCUCCAGACCAAGGUAGCAGCCCCAUGAAGCUGGGGGCCCAAUGGAGCAUCGUCCCCCUGGACCUGACAGAUAAUCCAGGCUUCCUCUCUCCAAGGCGAGUUUAGCAGUGACCACCUGGCCUUUAAAUAAAAUACAAUACAUGACAAUUAUCUAUACAAUAGACAGAAGCGGUGAUUUAUAGGUAUAAAUGUAUUUUAUGGAUUCCAAUGUAUAACAUGAUGGGACAGGAUGAAAAUUACUAACUCGGGGCCUUGCACAGCCUUCACGCUUCCUCACUCUCUGACAAGCGACAAAAGCCAAGAAGGGGGAUUUUCAAAAUAGAAGACAAAGAAAGCAAUGAAAGCCACUCAUCAGGGCACCUCUGUGUGGC